CCCCCCCCCCCCCCCCCCCCCCCCCCCCCCCCCCCCCCCCCCCCCCCCCCCCCCCCCCCCCCCCCCCCCCCCCCCCCCCCCCCCCCCCUCAGGUGUGUCCAGGUGAGCUCAGGUGUGUCCAGGUACAUUCAGGUGUGUCCAGGUGAGCUCAGGUGUGUCCAGGUACAUUCAGGUGUGUCCAGGUGAGCUCAGGUGUGUCCAGGUACAUUCAGGUGUGUCCAGGUGAGCUCAGGUGUGUCCAGGUACAUUCAGGUGUGUCCAGGUGAGCUCAGGUGUGUCCAGGUACAUUCAGGUGUGUCCAGGUGAGCUCAGGUGUGUCCAGGUACAUUCAGGUGUGUCCAGGUGAGCUCAGGUGUGUCCAGGUACAUUCAGGUGUGUCCAGGUGAGCUCAGGUGUGUCCAGAUGUGCUCUGAACAUCGCCCAGGUGUGCCCAGGUGAGCUCAGGUGUGUCCAGGUGAGCUCAGGUGUGUCCAGGUGAGCUCAGGUGUGUCCAGAUGUGCUCUGAACAUCGCCCAGGUGUGCCCAGGUGAGCUCAGGUGUGUCCAGGUGAGCUCAGGUGUGUCCAGGUGUGUUCAGGUGUAUCCAGCUGUGCUCUGGCAUCACCCAGGUGAGCUCAGGUGUGUCCAGGUGAGCUCUGGACAUUGCCCAGGUAAGCUCAGGUGUGUCCAGGUGAGCUCAGGUGUGCCCAGGUGUGCCCCUCCCCUCCCCCAGCACACACAAACUCCGCUACAAAACCAAGCCUUUAAUGGNCCUCAAAAUUAUUCCCAAACAGCCCCAAAACUGAUCUAAAAUCGAUCCUAAAGGGCCCCAAAACUGAUCUGAAAUUGCCCCCAAAUCAAUCCAAAAUCGAUCCAAAACUGUCCCAGAACUGCCCUAAAAUUGAUCAGAAUCGACCCCAAACUGCCCCAAAUUGAUCUAAAAUCGAUCCUAACGUGCCCAAAAACUGAUCCAGAAUUGAUCCCAAACUGAUCCAGAAUUGAUCCAAAACUGAUCGAAAAUUGAUCCUAAAAUUGAUCCAAAAGUGCCUCAAAAUUAUUCCCAAACAGCCCCAAAACUGAUCUAAAAUCGAUCCUAAAGGGCCCCAAAACUGAUCUGAAAUUGCCCCCAAAUCAAUCCAAAAUCGAUCCAAAACUGUCCCAGAACUGCCCUAAAAUUGAUCAGAAUCGACCCCAAACUGCCCCAAAUUGAUCUAAAAUCGAUCCUAACGUGCCCAAAAACUGAUCCAGAAUUGAUCCCAAACUGAUCCAGAAUUGAUCCAAAACUGAUCGAAAAUUGAUCCUAAAAUUGAUCCAAAAGUGCCUCAAAAUUAUUCCCAAACAGCCCCAAAACUGAUCUAAAAUCGAUCCUAAAGGGCCCCAAAACUGAUCUGAAAUUGCCCCCAAAUCAAUCCAAAAUCGAUCCAAAACUGUCCCAGAACUGCCCUAAAAUUGAUCAGAAUCGACCCCAAACUGCCCCAAAUUGAUCUAAAAUCGAUCCUAACGUGCCCAAAAACUGAUCCAGAAUUGAUCCCAAACUGAUCCAGAAUUGAUCCAAAACUGAUCGAAAAUUGAUCCUAAAAUUGAUCCAAAAGUGCCUCAAAAUUAUUCCCAAACAGCCCCAAAACUGAUCUAAAAUCGAUCCUAAAGGGCCCCAAAACUGAUCUGAAAUUGCCCCCAAAUCAAUCCAAAAUCGAUCCAAAACUGUCCCAGAACUGCCCUAAAAUUGAUCAGAAUCGACCCCAAACUGCCCCAAAUUGAUCUAAAAUCGAUCCUAACGUGCCCAAAAACUGAUCCAGAAUUGAUCCCAAACUGAUCCAGAAUUGAUCCAAAACUGAUCGAAAAUUGAUCCUAAAAUUGAUCCAAAAGUGCCUCAAAAUUAUUCCCAAACAGCCCCAAAACUGAUCUAAAAUCGAUCCUAAAGGGCCCCAAAACUGAUCUGAAAUUGCCCCCAAAUCAAUCCAAAAUCGAUCCAAAACUGUCCCAGAACUGCCCUAAAAUUGAUCAGAAUCGACCCCAAACUGCCCCAAAUUGAUCUAAAAUCGAUCCUAACGUGCCCAAAAACUGAUCCAGAAUUGAUCCCAAACUGAUCCAGAAUUGAUCCAAAACUGAUCGAAAAUUGAUCCUAAAAUUGAUCCAAAAGUGCCUCAAAAUUAUUCCCAAACAGCCCCAAAACUGAUCUAAAAUCGAUCCUAAAGGGCCCCAAAACUGAUCUGAAAUUGCCCCCAAAUCAAUCCAAAAUCGAUCCAAAACUGUCCCAGAACUGCCCUAAAAUUGAUCAGAAUCGACCCCAAACUGCCCCAAAUUGAUCUAAAAUCGAUCCUAACGUGCCCAAAAACUGAUCCAGAAUUGAUCCCAAACUGAUCCAGAAUUGAUCCAAAACUGAUCGAAAAUUGAUCCUAAAAUUGAUCCAAAAGUGCCUCAAAAUUAUUCCCAAACAGCCCCAAAACUGAUCUAAAAUCGAUCCUAAAGGGCCCCAAAACUGAUCUGAAAUUGCCCCCAAAUCAAUCCAAAAUCGAUCCAAAACUGUCCCAGAACUGCCCUAAAAUUGAUCAGAAUCGACCCCAAACUGCCCCAAAUUGAUCUAAAAUCGAUCCUAACGUGCCCAAAAACUGAUCCAGAAUUGAUCCCAAACUGAUCCAGAAUUGAUCCAAAACUGAUCGAAAAUUGAUCCUAAAAUUGAUCCAAAAGUGCCUCAAAAUUAUUCCCAAACAGCCCCAAAACUGAUCUAAAAUCGAUCCUAAAGGGCCCCAAAACUGAUCUGAAAUUGCCCCCAAAUCAAUCCAAAAUCGAUCCAAAACUGUCCCAGAACUGCCCUAAAAUUGAUCAGAAUCGACCCCAAACUGCCCCAAAUUGAUCUAAAAUCGAUCCUAACGUGCCCAAAAACUGAUCCAGAAUUGAUCCCAAACUGAUCCAGAAUUGAUCCAAAACUGAUCGAAAAUUGAUCCUAAAAUUGAUCCAAAAGUGCCUCAAAAUUAUUCCCAAACAGCCCCAAAACUGAUCUAAAAUCGAUCCUAAAGGGCCCCAAAACUGAUCUGAAAUUGCCCCCAAAUCAAUCCAAAAUCGAUCCAAAACUGUCCCAGAACUGCCCUAAAAUUGAUCAGAAUCGACCCCAAACUGCCCCAAAUUGAUCUAAAAUCGAUCCUAACGUGCCCAAAAACUGAUCCAGAAUUGAUCCCAAACUGAUCCAGAAUUGAUCCAAAACUGAUCGAAAAUUGAUCCUAAAAUUGAUCCAAAAGUGCCUCAAAAUUAUUCCCAAACAGCCCCAAAACUGAUCUAAAAUCGAUCCUAAAGGGCCCCAAAACUGAUCUGAAAUUGCCCCCAAAUCAAUCCAAAAUCGAUCCAAAACUGUCCCAGAACUGCCCUAAAAUUGAUCAGAAUCGACCCCAAACUGCCCCAAAUUGAUCUAAAAUCGAUCCUAAAGGGCCCCAAAACUGAUCUGAAAUUGCCCCCAAAUCAAUCCAAAAUCGAUCCAAAACUGUCCCAGAACUGCCCUAAAAUUGAUCAGAAUCGACCCCAAACUGCCCCAAAUUGAUCUAAAAUCGAUCCUAAAGGGCCCCAAAACUGAUCUGAAAUUGCCCCCAAAUCAAUCCAAAAUCGAUCCAAAACUGUCCCAGAACUGCCCUAAAAUUGAUCAGAAUCGACCCCAAACUGCCCCAAAUUGAUCUAAAAUCGAUCCUAAAGGGCCCCAAAACUGAUCUGAAAUUGCCCCCAAAUCAAUCCAAAAUCGAUCCAAAACUGUCCCAGAACUGCCCUAAAAUUGAUCAGAAUCGACCCCAAACUGCCCCAAAUUGAUCUAAAAUCGAUCCUAAAGGGCCCCAAAACUGAUCCGGAAUUGAUCCCAAACUGAUCGAAAAUUGAUCCUAAAAUUGAUCUAAAAUUGAUCCCAAAGUGCCUCAAAAUUAUUCCCAAAUAGCCCAAAAACUGCCCCAAAAUUCAUCUUAAAUCGAUCCCAAACCGAUCCCAAACAGCCCCAAAACUGAUCUAAAAUCGAUCCUAAAGGGCCCCAAAACUGAUCUGAAAUUGCCCCCAAAUCGAUCCAAAACUGUCCCAGAACUGCCCUAAAAUUGAUCAGAAUCGACCCCAAACUGCCCCAAAUUGAUCUAAAAUCGAUCCUAAAGGGCCCCAAAACUGAUCCAGAAUUGAUCCCGAAUUGAUCCCAAACUGCCCCAACAUUGACCCAAAGUUGAUCUAAAAUUGAUCAAAAGCUGCCCCAAAAUUGAUCCAAA
rnacentral:lncRNA from 12 species